GAUCUCCCAGUUCUCCCUUUGUUCUCUUGCUUCUCACUUUCUGCCCUAACACAGGCAUCUCUUCAGCAGACCAUUGUCUGGACUCCUAUAACCCCCAAAACAGCCUAAUUUGAGAGUGAAUGAGUCCUGACGGAUCCAUCAAGCUUCAACAUAAUCUGAUCAGUCAGAGCCAUCGGUUCAGGAUGACAGGUCUGAAUAGGAGCCAGACAUCACUAUGGAUCUGAAUUGAGUCUCAUGGAGGCAGACAAGAAUUUGGCAUCUCUCUGGUGCUGAACCUGGUCUAAGUGGUCGGCAGGAGGUAUCCAUGGCAACAGGCUGAGGUUGUCCCUUGGUGUGGGCAAUCUAUGGUCAAUCUUUACAGUAUUUAUUGAAUUAGAAACCGCUUACUGCUGUCUCCAUAGUAACCAGAGCUCAAGUAGAACCGUUAGACCAAUCAUGCAUAACUUGGGAUCCACAGAUAAACAGUUUCCUUAUUAUUAAUCAACCACUUUAUACGUAAGUGAACUCACAAUUUUUUGAUGUCUAAGAGAACUCACUGAAAAUGUAAUGUUUAUAUUGUGUUUUUUAAUGAUAAUUGCAGGCAAGUAUCACUUUACAGUAAGGCGUCAGCAUUUGUUAAUGCAUUAUGUAUCAUAAUACCAAUAAUCAGCAUUAAUUCUAAUUGAUUCUUUUUAUAUUUAUCAGAAACAUAGCAAAAUGGAUUAAAGUGGAUUUGUAAUAAGUGUUUUUAUUGUUAACUAAAACUAUUAAAAUAAAGC